UCUAAUACCGAAUACGACCUUUAGACGCAUGUCUUUUGGUGGAAAGCUUUUGCGGUGUGGGAUGGGCCCGCGGCCUAUCAGCUUGUUGGUGGGGUGAUGGCCUACCAAGGCGACGACGGGUAGCCGGCCUGAGAGGGUGUCCGGCCACACUGGGACUGAGAUACGGCCCAGACUCCUACGGGAGGCAGCAGUGGGGAAUAUUGCACAAUGGGCGCAAGCCUGAUGCAGCGACGCCGCGUGGGGGAUGACGGCCUUCGGGUUGUAAACCUCUUUCACCAUCGACGAAGGUUCGGGUUUUCUCGGAUUGACGGUAGGUGGAGAAGAAGCACCGGCCAACUACGUGCCAGCAGCCGCGGUAAUACGUAGGGUGCGAGCGUUGUCCGGAAUUACUGGGCGUAAAGAGCUCGUAGGUGGUUUGUCGCGUUGUUCGUGAAAUCUCACGGCUUAACUGUGAGCGUGCGGGCGAUACGGGCAGACUAGAGUACUGCAGGGGAGACUGGAAUUCCUGGUGUAGCGGUGGAAUGCGCAGAUAUCAGGAGGAACACCGGUGGCGAAGGCGGGUCUCUGGGCAGUAACUGACGCUGAGGAGCGAAAGCGUGGGGAGCGAACAGGAUUAGAUACCCUGGUAGUCCACGCCGUAAACGGUGGGUACUAGGUGUGGGUUUCCUUCCUUGGGAUCCGUGCCGUAGCUAACGCAUUAAGUACCCCGCCUGGGGAGUACGGCCGCAAGGCUAAAACUCAAAGGAAUUGACGGGGGCCCGCACAAGCGGCGGAGCAUGUGGAUUAAUUCGAUGCAACGCGAAGAACCUU
rnacentral:rRNA from 1 species